rnacentral:tmRNA from 1 species
GGGGGCGUACUUGGUUUCGACGGGGGUGCGUUGUAUUUAGGAAGCGAGUCGAGGGAGCCUGUGGGCCCGCGUUAAAAAACUACGGGAAUAAAGAUAAACGCAAACGAUAAUUUUGCAUUAGCAGCUUAGUCUGCUACGUUCUACCUUUGAGUACCGCGGCUUAGGAUAGGGCGUCGACAGCGGUGAACCGAGCUCUACAAAGCUUUGAGUAGAGAACGGAAAUUAUGAAGCUACUGAAGCCAGCAGCCUGUCCUUAGGCGUCUGGUGAAGGGAAGUUUAAACUAAGGACUGCACUCGGAGAUGCCUAGGUAUUACUGCUUUCGGACGUGGGUUCGACACCCACCGCCUCCACCA